rnacentral:rRNA from 1 species
GACGAACGCUGGCGGCGUGCUUAACACAUGCAAGUCGAACGGAAAGGCCCUGCUUUUGUGGGGUGCUCGAGUGGCGAACGGGUGAGUAACACGUGAGUAACCUGCCCUUGACUUUGGGAUAACUUCAGGAAACUGGGGCUAAUAUCGGAUAGGAGCUCCUGCGGCAUGGUGGGGUUUGGAAAGUUUCGGCGUUUGGGGAUGGACUCGCGGCUUAUCAGCUUGUUGGUGGGGUAGUGGAUUACCAAGGCUUUGACGGGUAGCCGGCCUGAGAGGGUGACCGGCCACAUUGGGACUGAGAUACGGCCCAGACUCAUACGGGAGGCAGCAGUGGGGAAUAUUGCACAAUGGGCGGAAGCCGGAUGCAGCAACGCCGCGUGCGGGAUGACGGCCUUCGGGUUGUAACCCGCUUUCGCCUGUGACGAAGCGUGAGUGACGGUAAUGGGUAAAGAAGCACCGGCUAACUACGUG